UCCUCACCGUCUUCAACUCCGCAGCCCUCGACUAGCAACAAUGACGCAGUUUGAAAGCGGUGAAGAAAUGUCAGGGUACCGACCUGAAUCACAGCCUCCAGUCUUGGGAGAUCCAACUCCAAGAUGUGAAAGUAGCCCAGCAUGAAGAGAUCCAGGGUCAGGCUGUCGUAGUCGACUGGCACCCCGUCCAGACGAGGAUUUCCACAAGUCUUUGAACGCCUCGUUAAAAUCUGGAGCACAGACUGCUGCAGCGCGGUUGGAAACGCACAAUCCUCACCUGGGCGCCUCCUGGAGGAGAAGCUGGAGGCAGGUGAGACCCCCGUUGGCUGCAGCGUAGUGAGCUGGUACCGCUCCACAGUUUGUCUGAGCGGUGGCCACUCCUCCAACCGACAGGAGCCACUCGGUCACCUCCACACGGCCAAACCGAGCU